rnacentral:rRNA from 1 species
UACGGGGGGGGCAAGCGUUGUUCGGAAUUACUGGGCGUAAAGGGCGCGUAGGCGGCCUUCUAAGUCGAACGUGAAAUCCCCGGGCUCAACCCGGGAACUGCGUCCGAUACUGGAAGGCUUGAAUCCGGGAGAGGGAUGCGGAAUUCCAGGUGUAGCGGUGAAAUGCGUAGAUAUCUGGAGGAACGCCGGUGGCGAAGGCGGCAUCCUGGACCGGCAUUGACGCUGAGGCGCGAAAGCCAGGGGAGCAAACGGG